AGCGAACGCUGGCGGCAGGCUUAACACAUGCAAGUCGAGCGGGCCCUUCGGGGUCAGCGGCAGACGGGUGAGUAACGCGUGGGAACGUGCCCUUCGGUUCGGAAUAACUCAGGGAAACUUGAGCUAAUACCGGAUACGCCCUUAUGGGGAAAGGCUUGCUGCCGAAGGAUCGGCCCGCGUCUGAUUAGCUAGUUGGUGAGGUUAUGGCUCACCAAGGCGACGAUCAGUAGCUGGUCUGAGAGGAUGAUCAGCCACACUGGGACUGAGACACGGCCCAGACUCCUACGGGAGGCAGCAGUGGGGAAUAUUGGACAAUGGGGGCAACCCUGAUCCAGCCAUGCCGCGUGAGUGAUGACGGCCUUAGGGUUGUAAAGCUCUUUUCUCCGGGACGAUAAUGACGGUACCGGAGGAAUAAGCUCCGGCUAACUUCGUG
rnacentral:rRNA from 1 species